rnacentral:rRNA from 1 species
UACGUAGGGGGGCAAGCGUUGUCCGGAAUCAUUGGGCGUAAAGAGCGUGUAGGCGGCCCGGUAAGUCCGCUGUGAAAGUCCAGGGCUCAACCCUGGGAUGCCGGUGGAUACUGUCGGGCUCGAGUCCGGAAGAGGAGUGUGGAAUUCCUGGUGUAGCGGUGAAAUGCGCAGAUAUCAGGAGGAACACCAAUGGCGAAGGCAGCACUCUGGGACGUGACUGACGGCUGAGACGCGAAAGCGUGGGGAGCGAACAGG